CUCCAGUGCGUGAUUCCGAGGGAAAAACCGCAUCGCGUGGCCGAAAGAUCUCGUCGUUUUUCCCUGCUUAAAAUUCUUGCGUACUGAGUAGCAACUAACGCCUUGAUCCUCGAUUCUUUGAAGAUCGAUCACAAUUAAUUAAUCUGUGUUCUUUUUGGUUCAAUAUUGCAGGAAAAAUGGAGUCAAGGAAUCAAUUAAAAGAUCGAAGGAUCUUCAUACCUCACGCGUAUCAGCGAGAUGAAAGAGGGGGAGCUUCAUCACCAUACAUUAUUCAAUGCAGCAGAUUGUGGCUUCCGGAAGGAGAAAAAGGAACUUCAAUAAAGAAAACAAGCCCCGUGAGCUAUAGAAGAAGACAUUUCUUGAUGUGUAAGGAAAUGGAUCGUGGGAGGAAGUUUUCAAGCCAAAAACAAGAAGUCAUGGUACCAACACUAUGCUUUGCUGACCAAUCGGCCGGCCGGUUGAGCUCCUUGGGGACAUGGGCAACGUCGAAACCAUGGAGGACAUUAACCAGCAGAUAGAUAUCGUGGAGCCAAACACCUUUCGGACCAAGGGAGGGAGACCGAUUUUUGAUAAGUUGGACCGCAACAAGAGAAUCGGAGUAAACACGAAUCUUGUGGUGACCAAGAGAUUUAGCAAAUCGUAGGCACUCGAGGAUUGCGCAAAUUUCAACAAGGAGAGGACUGAAGGAGACCUCGAGGAAACUGGAAUGGGCGGCCAAAAUUCUUCCAUCGGGAUCCGUAAUAAUCGCUCCUAGACCUGUUCCUGAUUGAUGCCCACCACAAGCCGCAUCUACGUUGAGGAGAAUCUAGUCGGUAUAAGGGGAAGCCAAAGUCGAUUAUCAAACCGGCGAUGAGAUUCACAACGAGGCAACAAAUUUGUGUUGGAAGAAAUUGUAGUCAAACGAGCCUUCUCAGCAUAAGAGGUAAUCCAAGUACACUUCUCUGAUAAAGUUGGAAUUUGUUUCCCAAGAACAAUCAUUCCAAAUUGUCGAGGUCAAAACAGCAGCGAGACUACGAGGACCAAGAAGCUUAUGCCAUAGGUCGGCAAACGAAGAGAGGCCAACCAGAAGAAUAUUGGGGAAAAAAUAGCGCCAGAUUUUCCGAGAUGGACUAAAAAAAAGAGGGCGUGAAUGACAGUCUCCGGCUCAGAAUGACAAAGGGGACAAAUAGUGAUUAGGAAAACCAUGAUAUAAUUGGAGAAAUCAUUACUUUGAUGCUAAGAAAACACCUUUAAAUAUUUAGAUUUUACUUUAAAAACUUCAACAACAAUUGUCAUAUAACAUCGACAUGUCAAUAAUAUAACAUCGACUACAUGGUCGGAGA